ACUGGUGGCUCUGCAACAGAAGGGCACAGACAGAACACUGCUAGAAAACCCUCUCAGGAUGACGGUUUCAAGGAGGACAAGGAAGAGAAUGUGGCGAGCUGGGGUUACAGACGCCUGCUGCCAUGUGUGGCCUUUGACGUGGGUCCUGAGUGCCAACCUGCUCAGCAAGAGCGUUCACCUGCGCAGUCAUCUUGCCAGGCCAAUACUUCUCUAAGGUGGUUGGAGGACCAUAUAAACACUACCGGAGUUAGUCAUCUGACAUUCUAUGCCAGACUUGGUGACAACAGACAAGACCAUGAGGACACGAACCUUCAGCACGUGAAGAAGAGGUAGAGGGAUCAUAUGGCUACAGCCAGGAAGCCAGAGCCUGACAGAGCAAGGCAGGCACAGAGAGCCAGUCUCGGGCUCUCCUGGACACCUUCCUACUAGCACAGGGACCCCUUCACACUGGACCUGUCAAUCACAGUGCUCUCUCUUAGCUCAGAGACACACAAGGUCUGGCUACGUGCAGUGUGGGGUUUUCAUUAUGCAGUCAGGCUAGAACUAACAAUCCUCCUGCCUCACAUGGGAUUGUAAAUAUGUGCCAGCUGGAGCCUCUUCACAUUGGAUUCCUACAUAAGCCUCUGUGCAUGUGACAAUAGGGACUGCAUGGCCACAGGGAGGCUUUUGUGACCCUCUAAGCACAGCAACUGAGGAAACCCACAGGGAAACAAGAUUCUUUGGCUCCUUUAAGAUUCUGCUUGCCUGAGCUGAAGGAAAAGGCUGGACCAUGGGGAAGCCCCAGCUACUCUCAAAGGUCACUCAACAAUGACAAGAGCCCAGCAGGGUCAGGACAGAAAAGUGAGGAGAGACCAGGGUCUCAGAGGGCUUUUGGCCCCGUCCAUCAUUAGCAUCCUCUGCAUGGAUGCUGGUACGAACCUCAGAUGCCAGCGUCAUGCAUGGGCACUGGACCUGAGACAUGUUUAGAGAGGAUCUUAAAAUAAUCCAAUCAAACCACCAAACUAUCUGCUUGUGGCAGAAGUGUGCCCACGUGGCUGUUCUUGUGAAGAAACAGCUCUUUGAUCAUCUCAAGAGAUAAACUCCGGGCUUCCUCAGCUGCCCAGACAGUUCUGGGUAGAGCAAAGAGGCUGCCUGUCUCUUUUUAGCAAGACAUGGCCACCAGUGGUCCACCUGGGAAAACACAGGCAGACGGCGGACAAGAAAGGGACAGCAAGUUCAACAUGGUACUGGGGCUUCUUACCCACAUAUUCCGAGAGGAAGACGACAAAGAAUGGAGUGACCAGGUCAUUAAUUCCCUGGACAUACCCACUGGCGGGGUGUCGGAUGGCCCAGAUAAACAGAAUUCGUUCAAAGAUCUAGGAAGACGAG
rnacentral:lncRNA from 1 species